rnacentral:rRNA from 1 species
GUUUGAUCCUGGCUCAGAACGAACGUUGGCGGCGUGGAUGAGGCAUGCAAGUCGAACGUGAAAGCCGCAAGGUGAGUAGCGUGGCGGACGGGCGAGUAACACGUAAUCAAGCUGCCUGCGAGACGGGGAUAACCUCGGGAAACCGAGGCUAAGACCCGAUGGUCUUUCUGCUUCGCAUGGAGUGGGAAGUAAAUGGGCGGGAUCCUUUGGGACCGCCUGCUCGCAGAGGUGAUUGCGGUCCAUCAGCUAGUUGGUAGGGUAAUGGCCUACCAAGGCGACGACGGGUAGCCGGCCUUAGAGGGUGGUCGGCCGCACUGGGACUGAGACACUGCCCAGACUCCUACGGGAGGCUGCAGUCGAGAAUCUUCCGCAAUGGGCGAAAGCCUGACGGAGCGACGCCGCGUGGAGGACGAAGGCCCUUGGGUUGUAAACUCCUGUCACGAGUUAAGAAGGGGUCAUCACGAACAGUGGUGAUCUUUGACGUAAGCUCGAGAGGAAGCACUGGCUAACUCUGUGCCA